rnacentral:lncRNA from 1 species
CAAAGCCAAUGGUGUGAUCACUACUACUGGCCAAGAGCCAUCUGUUGGUGUCUCAGAGGGGGAUACAAUGAGCAGCCGAGAUGCUGUGGGUCUUUUCAUUAAGGACCAUGGCUAUCCUUGGGAAGAUCUUUAUGUUAAACAAGUUAGUAGAGGAAGAUGAUUAUUUAUUUAUUCAUUUGUAUACGUGUGAUCUUUCUGUCUGUAGGCACAUGGGCCUGUCAAGUUUGUAAAUGUCGGCAUGCUCCUUUGGAACAAGAUCUCAUUGGGCCAGCACCAAAAGGUUGGAUGUGGGGUGGAGAAUGGCAGACCUUGAUUCAAAUUCAUGUUUUCUAAGUGGCUGGCCAGCACUUCAACCACCAGAUCAGUCCUCUUCUCUGCAGGGUUAAACAUUUCCUCUUACAAAAAGAGCCACAGGCUCUUGAUUAUCCAUGCAAAGCAGGCCAGCGCUUUGAUUUGUAAGGUUUUGUCUGACACACUUUUAAAUGGAUGAAGCUCAAUUUAGAUUCCAAAUGAAAACCUAAAUUUGAUGGUUGAGACAUAGACCCACUUUUCUCUCUUAUCCCGAGGCACCGUUCUCCACCCUUCCCCUUUCCUCUUCAAAAAGUGAUACUGCCUAAUGCUUUGAACCAAGAAAGCGUGUUUCAAGAUCAGCGUGGAACAAUUAAACCAAUGAUCUGUGCGCUUCAAGGGGAAAACUGAGCUGCAGUAGCUCUGCUUUGACAGGUCUUUGGAGGAUUUCAAGGAAGUUACACCCACUUCAUUCAUGAUAAUCGGCUGUUUAACGCAGAGCAGCUCAGUGUUAUGAAUGAGAGGGAGCAUGUUUUGGCUUGCAGAACAACUCACAAAUCUAAUGCUUCACUCGUCAAAUAACCAGCCACAUAAAAAAAAAAUCUGACUUCAUUCUUGAAAUGAAAUUAAUGAAUGCGAGAUUCAGUGAAAAAAAAAAAAAGACCAACAACCCAACAACCAAACACCUAAAGCUGCAUCCUCUCUUUCUUUCUGCAUGCUUCUCCUUACCUUGGGUUUGUGAGUUGCUGUGGCUGGAGAAUUUGGGGUAAAGCAGCACAGCCUCUGAGCUGAUUUGCAGCUAAGGCCGAGUUUUGGGAGGGAAUCACGCGUUAGAUCACAACAUGCUUAAUUGCUGGAUUUGAGAUCGUGCUGGUAUCAAAAGGAGGCUGUGGAUGCACCAUCCCUGGAGGCAUUCAAGGCCAGGCUGGAUGUGGCUCUGGGCUGCCUGGUCUGGUGGUUGGCGACCCUGGGGGGUUGAAACUAGAUAGUCAUUGUGGUCCUUUUCAACCUAGGCCAUUCUAUGAGUCUAUGAUCAAAAGGGAAGCGGAAGAAAAAAGCUUAUUAAGAAUGGACUGCACUGGGGGAAAUCAAGACCUGAGCAGAUCCUUUUUUAUUUCCAUUCAUUCUCAGGGUGGUUCUUCUCAAACCAAAAGGAGCAGUCAGGUAUAAAAGGGAAGCGAUGCUCGUUAGGGCAGUGUGGGUUCCCAUUCCGGAGCACGCAAAGCCUUCAGCUGGACCUGAAAGCCGGGCAGUGUGCUGGGGUUUGCUCCAGGGCACCACCCGCAGCAUUGGCUUUUCUGGUGCAUGGCAGUGCUGAAUUUGCAGACUGUAGGUUUGGAUUCCCCCUGGGAAGUUCUCAUCUCAUGAAAUGUGGUGCACAAAGCAGAGAAAGGCGGGUGCUGGCUGGCUGUCAGUGGGAGAGGGUUGGAGAUGAAGAAGUGGAAGGAGGGCUUAAGGAGAGCGAUGGAUUUCCUGCGCCCAAAUAACAAAGAAGAGGGAAGAAAACCAACACAAAUGUAAUUUUGUCCUGGCUCAAUGAUGCACUGUCAGUCACUGAGGGAUGAAUUGUGCUGUGCAGCAGUAGUCACCUUCCACGAACGCUUCAGGCUUGAUUUAAUACCCCUCUUCCUAAAAGUAGAAGGUGAAAAAAUGGUUUAGGGGCACACACAGCAGAGCCGGGGGGGGGGGGAGAAAAAA